UUUGCUUGGUGGGAAAUUUGUCCGCCCUUCCCCUCCUUCCCUUCUAGUCAAAACAACACUUCGCUUUUAUUUUGGCUUGGUAGGAAAUUUGCCCGCCCUUCCCCUCCUUCCCUUCUAGUCAAAACAACAUUUUGCCUUAGCCCCUUUUGAGACUCUUUUGCCUUAGCCCCUUUUGAGACUCUGCAGCACUUUGUCAUCCAACAAUGUCUUGCCCCUCAUCUGCGGGGACUUACGAGUUUCUAUUAUGUUUCUUCUCUUUCCGACCAACGGAUGAUCCCGCUCUUGCUGCCUCUUAGGUGUGCUUCACCUCUUUACUUCUCUCUUUUCCUUUUCCCCCCUUCUAUUUCUCCAUCUCCCCCACCCUCCGCAACUCGCAUUUGUUGUCGUUUUGUCUUGGGACUCCCAAGCGAUUUUGGGUAGGCUUCAAAAGCUAAAACCAGUUUUGGCAAAGCUAUCAGUUUUUUUGUGAAGAACUUUGAACCCACAUCCGCAGCUCUGCUCAAAUCCCGGAACAUUGCACUACACAAUGCCCAAAUCCCUAAAAUUUUUAUCUCCCAUCUACCAGAUCCCAUUUCAAUGUUAUACAUUAUUGCUGUUUUUGGCAGAAGAUGAACAUGCAUAAACAUCAUUCAGACCCAACAGUUGGCAAAGGUAGAUCUUGUUUCUACUGGAGUCUAGUAUGACAGAGAGUUAACUGUCUGCUCACUUGAUUUGCUCUUUGGACUAGCUGAAGGUGUUGGCAGUGGGAUAGAAAGUUUGGUAAUCCCUUACUCCAUAACUAAUUUAUCGAGCCUUAGUUACUUCAUUUCUCAAAUUGCACAUCUAUUUUUCUCAUAAAAGUGGUUUAUAAAUUUUGCCGAAGCUUUUCAACAAGAAGAUUAUGUAAAUGUAGAUUUCUUUGAUGAUUUUCAAUGUUACGCUUUAAAACUGAAUUUUUGUUGUUGUUUCAUUUAAUAAGAAUGAUUUUUCAUCUUCGUUAUUUCAUCUUUAAUCAAUUUUCAGUGUAUAUUGGAAGUCUUAAAAAAAAAAAAAAGGGGCAAUUAUGGUGCCUAGUUUUCUUUUCUCCAUUCUCUGUAGAUAUGUCUUGGUGGAACGCCAAGACAUAACAUCUCAUAUGAUGUGGUCCAUAAAUUGCAGAAUUUACUAAAGGCAUCAGAAUUUAAGGUAAGAUCAGUCAAAUGGUUGUGUUUUGUGGAAUCUUUGCUCUUUGUUUAUGUUGGCAAUCUACAUAUCAUUUCAUACUUUUACCAAUAACCCAAUAUGCAACACUAAAGAGGUUGAUACCAGAAGAACUAGUGGAAACUGAUAAAAUGGGGAAGUAUUAUUUGUGUCUGUGUGUUUAAUUGACUGAAAAUGUUAUCAAAAUUAUUAGCUGAUUUUCACUAGGAUGUCAAGUACAUUCGUGGUGUAAAAUGUGUAAAGUUGGCUGAAAAGCCUGAAAAUGGGAAUGUCUUGAUGGAUGAAUAAAAGCAUCUUUCAAAAAAAUUGAAAGCUUCUCUUAUUUUUAAUCAAUUAUUUAGUAGUUUCUGAAGGGUCAUAUUUUUCUUUUCUUGGUUAAUGGUAUAAUGUAUUUGUGUAUUGUCAAGAAUUUUUCAGUAUCGUAAUAUAUAGUAUCUCAAUCUUGAAUAUCUUAAAAUUGCUCCUAUUUACAAUUUCAAACAUCCAAACUUGGGAUGGUUUCUGACAUUGAAAGUCUUUUACACUACAUAAUAUUUUCUGCCCAGAAGUUAGAACAAGUAGAUCCUCUGUAACUGCAUGUAAGCAAACCUAGACAUGUGUGCAUGCCACCAUGUUGGUUCUAUUUAAAAGUCCUUUUCUCUUUGUUAAUAUGCUGAUAGAAUAUGUUGCUAGCAAUGAUGUGUCAUUUUGCAGGUUGUGAUUGCAAAUGAGUCGCACUUUUUGAAAAAUGCUCAAGCAAAGAGAACGACUACUUUUGUUCCAGUUAUAAAGGUAUUUCAUUCUUGAUCAAUGAUGGUAACGUAGUACCAGCAUUCAGACAUGUUUUUGUACUGAUUCUCCUUUGUACUGAAUCGCAAGCCCAAUCAUAUUAAUCUACUACCAUUCCUUUUCAGCCAUAGAUUCAUGCUGAAUCUCAAAUAAAUAGAACAAGUAAAUAAAGUACACAUGAAUACUAGAUUGUUUUCACCGCUGUUCCAUUGUUAAAUAAAGGAUGCACAAAUUCAUCCUUUUAACAGGUUAAAACUAUAUGAGUAAAAGCCCAGAAAAAAAAAAAAAAGUUGACUUGUAUACCCAAUCAUUGCAUUUCAUAUUUUGUUUGUUCACUUUGAAUGAUCAUUUUUGGUCCACAAUGCAAUAGAAUAAAAUUUCAAUGGGACAGCUACAUAUUUUGAUCCUUUCUCUUGACAUCUUCAUCUCCCCGAUAUUAGACUUUCAGAAAGCUCAAUAUGCAAUAUUACUUAGUGGAAUUCCUGCUUUGUCUUGGCCAAUUGAAUUAUUCAAGCAGGUAACCAUGAAGAGUUGCACAAUUUGAUGAAAGCAACAUUGAUGAUUUGCAGACUUAAAAAAGAUGUUCUUUCUGAGCUUCCUAUGAAGCCUAGGCAACAGGUCAGUAUGUCUGUAUGUGUUUGCUGCAGUGUCUAAUCUGCUUUUCCAUUUGAUUUUGGUUGUUAUUUAAACUUCUUUAGAUUUUAGGAAUUUAAGGAGCAAGGUCAAGUUUAAUCAAUUGAGCACAUGUUUAAAAUUAAUGCAAUGAAGAGUUCAACCUAAGAUUUGUCUCCACCACUGCCCACCAUCGCCAUCACUACUAUUACUUGUAAUUGUUUAUAGAUGAUUUUAUUGCCUAUGUUACACAAAAUGAUUGUUUUAAGUAUGUACUAAUGACAAUUAUAUGCAUGUAAAGACAAUUAUUGUUUUAUAAAUAUUUAAAGCCUUAGUGUUAUAAGAAUUUGCUAAGUUGCUUUAUAUA